GACAACGCUGGCGGCGUGCCUAACACAUGCAAGUCGAACGAAGCAUAGCAAUAUGCUUAGUGGCGGACGGGUGAGUAACGCGUGAACAAUCUGCCCUGUACAAAGGAAUAGCCUCGGGAAACCGGGAUUAAAACCGUAUGACACUUUAGUAUCGCAUGAUAAGAAAGUCAAAUCGAUUAGAGGUAUGGGAUGAGUUCGCGUCUGAUUAGCUGGUUGGCGGGGUAACGGCCCACCAAGGCGACGAUCAGUAGCCGGCCUGAGAGGGUGAACGGCCACACUGGAACUGAGACACGGUCCAGACUCCUACGGGAGGCAGCAGUGGGGAAUAUUGCACAAUGGAGGGAACUCUGAUGCAGCGACGCCGCGUGAGUGAAGAAGGUCUUCGGAUCGUAAAACUCUGUCCUUGGUGAAGAAAAGGACGGUAGCCAAGGAGGAAGCCCCGGCUAACUACGUG
rnacentral:rRNA from 1 species